UGAGGAAUAUUGGGCAAUGGGCGAAACCCUGAUCCAGCAAUGCCGCGUGAGUGAAGAAGGCCUUAGGGUUGUAAAGCUCUUUCGCCCGUGACGAUGAUGACGGUAACGGGAGAAGAAGCCCCGGCUAAUUCCGUGCCAGCAGCCGCGGUAAUACGGAAGGGGCUAGCGUUGUUCGGAUUUACUGGGCGUAAAGCGCAUGUAGGCGGCGGAUCAAGUGAGGCGUGAAAGGCCUGGGCUCAACCUGGGAACGGCGCUUCAGACUGGUUUGCUCGAGUUCGGGAGAGGGUGGUGGAAUUCCCAGUGUAGAGGUGAAAUUCGUAGAUAUUGGGAGGAACACCGGUGGCGAAGGCGGCCACCUGGCCCGAGACUGACGCUCAAGUGCGAAAGCGUGGGGAGCAAACAGG
rnacentral:rRNA from 1 species